rnacentral:rRNA from 1 species
UACGUAGGGUGCGAGCGUUAGUCGGAAUUACUGGGCGUAAAGCGUGCGCAGGCGGCGCGUUAAGACAGGUGUGAAAGCCCCGAGCUUAACUUGGGAAUUGCGCUUGUGACUGGCGUGCUGGAGUGUGGCAGAGGGAGGCGGAAUUCCACGUGUAGCAGUGAAAUGCGUAGAGAUGUGGAGGAACACCGAUGGCGAAGGCAGCCUCCUGGGCCAGCACUGACGCUCAUGCACGAAAGCGUGGGGAGCAAACAGG